GAAUAAUAUUGUUAAAAUUUAUAUACAAAUUUACUAACUUAGCUUAGUGUCUUGUCAAACUAGUUAAAUGACUGAAAGACUGAAUACAAUAUAGUAUGUGAUGUAAGUAGUGGCUGAGCAAAUGAAUCGUUUUGUUUUGGGAUGAUUAAUGCUUGUCCUGUAAGUCCACAUGCUUCUAUGUGAAACACUUAAAUUUAUUUUAAAUCUUUUCCUUCUGGAAAAUUGGUAGAAAGCUUCCAAUAAAAUUGUCAGCAAUUGACAGUUUUUUCAAUUGCUUGCAAUUUUUCAGACAAAGACUAUCUGAGUGUCUGACCAAAGAAUCCUCAUUGGAUAUUAUUUAUAAAACUUCACUUUUUGAGCACUUUUGAAAAUAUUAAUUCUUGUCUAUUAAUUGUACUUAUAGAAUCAGUAUCGAUUUAGUUUACCACUUGAGCUUUUACAUUUGUUACCUAUGUAAAGAAACGAUGACAUGAAAAUUAAAAAAGAAAAAUUAUUUUCUGGCUUGAAAAUUUCAAAAAUUUAAUUUUUCUGAGACUGUCUUUUAUUGUCAUCUCUUAGAUUUCUUAUUUAUUUACCAAAGGUUCAUUCCAUACAUAUGGUCAGAAAGAUUAGAGUUGGAGUGAUAUAAAAGGCACAUGUGUUGUUAAUUGUUGUCAUUCCUGCAUUUUCUUUUCAUCUGAACUUUUUCUCAUAAAAAUUACCACCACCACUAUUUACAUUCUUAUUUAGAAUAUAGAAGCUAGGAUGAAUUUAUGAAGAAAUAUUUGUUAAUUGUCUUAUAUAUAAAAUUACAUGUGAUUUAUAAUUAUACUCAUCAGUAAUUCCCUAUUCCAAGAGGAAGAGAAAAAUAGUCUGCAAGUUGCUUCUAGUAAUAAAAAUUUAUAGGGCACAGUUAUUGUUUAUUUACUAGUGUAAUAUUAAGUCAGAAUAUAGCUUACUUGGGUUAUAAGUAAGAUGAGCUUGAGAAGAAGAGAAAGGUAUUCAUUUUCUCAUCUUGGUUAAGAUUGAAACGGUUUUAGAGCAAUGAUUGAAAGAAAUCAACCAUGUAAAAAGGAGCUGAUGUACUGGAUACAUUUGCAAAUCAAUUUGAAAUGAAUUUUUGAAACAUUGAAUUGUUGACAAGAACUUUCUGUCUGAAUGGGCGUAAAAAUUUUUCUUAGUUUUUUCCUUGUGUUUUGUGGAGCAGUGUAGGAGUGAUUGAUUACCUGGUUGAUAUAGUGAUUGAGUCAUUUAUCUGUCUGUUAUAAUUCUAAUAUUUCUGGCUUCUUGAGUAACAGGCAAUUAGGCUUUUAAGACAUGAUUUUAGAAAUGAGUUCAUCAAGGUAUAAAAUCUUAUUAUUUAUUUAAUUAUUGCAUAUAAAAUAAUAUGUGUUUGCUCAUUUAAAAAAAUUUUUGCAUUGGUAGCUGGCAGAUCCAUUUCAGAAAUUUUGUAAUCUUACUCAUGAGGUUUGAGACUAUCUGUUGAAGCAGGAUCAUAAAUAUAAAUAUUAAAGAGAAUUGGAUCUUGUAUUCAGUCUAUAAUCAUCACUUGCUUCAUUUACAAUGAUAAUUUAAGUGCCAUUCUUUUGCAUAGUAAGUUAACCCUUGUGAGGAUACUUAUAUGUAUGUAUGCAUGCGCAUAUAUACAACUAGAGAAUCAUUCUCCACACAGGUAAGACUGGCAAACCUAUACAACAUACUACUGGAUACCUACCGGGAAUUGAUACUUAAACAGCUGCACAAGUACUACUGUAUUGUACCAAACUGCUCAGAGAGAUAUUGACCUCAAGACUCAAGAUCUUGUCUUAUAUACUUAGCUUAGAAGAUAGAAAAGAACCUUUCAAACCCCAUAUAAAUAUAAAGUACCAUAAUGAAAAUUUUGCUGCAAACCCUUCCAUUCACCUCCUCUUGUCCCUCAAGCUCUGAUACAGGUAGGAUUAGUAAAGUUAUAUCUGGUAGAAUUCUACCCCACCUUCAUUUUAUGAUUACACUAAACCUCUAGACUAACAACAUUGAAGUCAUCCAAUGGUUUAAAUCCUUAAGCCCCAAUGGUAAAUACAAAUUCAUUCAAGUAGAUAUAGACCAAUAUUAUUCCAGUGUAUCUCCUAUCCUACUUAAAGCCCUCAUAUUUGCACUAAAAUAUCUUCCCCAACUAGAGAUGAUAUCAAUAUUAUCCUGGCAGCCCAUCAAACUAUUAUGAAAUUCAACGGAAAACUUUGGGCCAGCAAAGAUACCUCUAACUACUUCAACAUCCCAAUGGGGGCAAGUGAUUCAGCCCAAGUUACUGACCUCAUGGGUUGUUACCUGCUCCAUUGUCUCCAGGACCAAUUCCGUAAAUAUUUCUGGCAGUUUAUAUAGGGAUGACAUUCUGUUUGCAAUCCCAAACUCUAGUAACUAUAAGGUAGAACAACUUAGGAAAAGAAUCAGAUAUUUCUUUAAAAACGUGGGCCAUGACAUCUUUUUCAGUUCCAAUAUUAAAACUGCUAAUUUCCCAGACGUCACUCUAGAUUUACAAAACAACACCUGUCUAUCAUAAACUCGGGCAGAACCUUGUGUUAACUUUUCUUCAAAUCACUCACUCCCAUUUUCCUAACAUCCAUUGUGGACAGUGUGUUUUAUAGGAUCUCAUCCCUAGCCAAAGAGAUAUUUGAGCAAUAUACUGAAUAUUACAACUGCUCCUUACACUGUGCCAGAGAUAAAAAAAACCCAGUUAGAUACUUCCCUAUAUGGAGUGUUCCUUUGUCUCCUGAACCUGACACUGCAGAUACAUAUGCUCUUUCAGAUAGAAUCUAAGGUAACCCCUGUAUUUCAUCCUCUCCCUAUUCCCCCAAAUUUUACUGUAGUAGCAAACCCAAUUGGCACUCUUUCCCAGACAGGGAUUCUGGAUCCCAAAUCCGCCACUGCCCAUCAAAAUCCAUUCCAGCAUGCACUUCCCUACCCUAAGGCAUACUCAGGUAACCCCCUAGAAUGGGAUGAGUUAUAUUUAUAUUUUCUUAACCCAAUUAUCUCCUUACAUCUUCCUCUCUGCACAUGAGAAUAUGCAGGUGUGCAUGUGUGCCUGCACACAAUGGGGAUACUAUAAGCACUCAGUGAACAUGCACAUGCGCACAGAUAUGCAAAUAUAUAGUUUUACUGUUAAGUAGUAAGCCACCAAUUUAAUUACAACUGCAUGUUCCCCUAAUGGCUAGAAACUUUAUCUCCCAUCUCCCUCUCUUUCUUUCCUCUCCUUUCUUCUCUCCUAGCAAAUUCACUUUACUCCCACUCCUUAAUAUUCAACCUCUUUUCCUUUUCUUCUCAUUCUUGACCAUUUCACUUCUAAAAGUUCUUUUCUUUUAAUUCUGUAUAUGCAUGGAUGCCACAAUAUAUUUCUUUUUCUUUUACAAAAAUGACCCCAGCUUAAUAUUCACAAUGUUCAGUCUAACCUAAAUUCCCCUUUUCUUUAUUCUUAAUAGCUUCAGACAAUUGCUCACUCCCAUGUUUUGACCUCUUCUAUUCUAUUAUGGGCCAUUUUAUUUCUUCAUAUAUGUUUUUCUAUUUUGUCUUUUUUUUUUUACUCCAUUCUUCCAGCUUCACCAUUCAUUUUAAAUUAUAGCAGGUUAACUUAGGAUUCCUUAAUACCCUCCAUCUGAACAGCUAAGUUUCAUAUCUAUUCUGCUAGUAUUUUGAUGGCCUCAAAUAAUGCAAGACAUUGCAUGAGUAUUGAUCCUUGAAAUGGCAUAGUUAUACCAUAUUCAAUUGAUAAUGAAAAAGCAGUUUCCAAAGAUUUACCUAAAACUUGUGUAUGUUACUGCCUAAAUAAUGCUCAGAAAACAUUUUAAUGUCUUAGAUAUUUCUCCUUUUAUAUUUUAUUUAGUCUUUAAGUGUGUAAAUAAACAAAUAUAUUGAGUUUGAUGUGUAUAUUUAUAAGUUUUAUGUUUGUAGGAGUUUUACUUUGCUUUUAUCUUAUGUGCAGAAGUCACAUACAUCAGUUUGAGGGAUGUAGAAUAGUGCCAAAAUGUUAAUAUAUAAUGCAGAUGGUUGUUGUGUUGAAAACUAUAUUUGUUAUUUAGAUAUUCAUCCACUUGUUAUUUAAAACACUCACACCUAAUUGAUUUAGUUGUUAUCACCAGAAAACUGGGAAACAUGUCUGUCCACAGCUGCUGCCUACUACCUUAUGUGCUCUCUCUCCAAAUAUUUUUCAGCAACUCAUCAAUAAUCUUUUCUUCCAUUUUUUUUUUUUUCACAUUACUCUAAAAUGUUGCUUUUAGAGUAAUAUUGCUUUUAAAAAAUUCUUUUGCAAUCUACAUAUGUUUAAAAUAUAUAAAUAAAUGGUUCUUUAUUUGGCAUUGCCUUUUAUUCAUUAUGAAUUAAAGUACUCAAAUAAUAAUGAUAAUAAUAAUAAUAAUAAUGAUAAUGAUAAUUGGCUCAUCAUAUUCUGUGAUAUUGCAAAAGGUGAAGGAGUUAGAGCAAUUUUGACUUAGCACAAACUUAAUAUUGUUUUUAUAGUAAUAUAAUGAUAAAUAAAAUCAAUAUUAAUAAUGAUACUAAAAUCUGACACAAAUAUGGUGUCUUAUACAGAAGGGAGGAAACCUGGAGUUGCCAUAUAUAUGGUUUUCCUAAGAACAUUAGUAAUUUGUGUGUAAUGAUUCCACGUGGUGAUCAAAACUGGGCUGUAAACUUGUUUACUGAAAAGUUACCACCUCACAAUAAUACAAACAAUGAUUACAGAAGCUGUAUCAGUUUUAAUAACAACCAUAAAAGUCACAAUGAUGGUAUUGAAUAUUUUUGCAAAGAUCUUUGUGCUUUAACUAGAAGAAAUGAAAAGUUAUAUUGUCCAAGAAAUUACAUGAUUGUUCCAGUUUGGGAAAAAUGUAUAUCAUUAAAGAUAUAUUUUCAAUGUUAAUAGUAAUCAAAAAGCAAAGAAUAAUGAUGAGGAUGAUGAUGUGGUUGUUACAUGAAUGACACUGAUAAUUAUAUUAAUGAUUAUGAUUUGUUUGUGACACAAUGCCAACUUUAUAAGGGUUGUUGUCAAUACUUUGGACAUCAUCAGUAUCUUGCUAGUAUAUAUUGGUUGUAAAUUUAGAAAGGCACCACAGAUUUAGUUAUACGAUCUGGUGAUACUUUAAAAAAGUGCAGGACACUGAUUUAGAUGUUUUUAAUGAUUGAAUGCAUUAUAUAUCUCACUCAAGAUCAAAUGCACUCAUUGAGGUCGAUAAAAGAAGAAAAUGUCAUUAGAAGUAACUCAAAUUACUAACAGAUUAUGCAGCAAAACUUGAUAAAUAUAAAAACUAUUCAGUUGUAUCAGAUUAUAAAAGAUUACGUGAAUGGAUAAGAAAUGUUAAUACAUCACUAAUGCAUAAUACCACAAUAAUACAUUAAUGGCUUUGGCAAAAAAGUGACCUACUGUUACAAAACAUUGCUCCCUAUCUCAGAAAUUUUUUGCCAUUUAUAUUUAGAUAGAUAAUGAAAAGUUAAAUUAAAUUAAUAUAGAUUCAUUACUUCUAGUGCAAGUUUAGAGACAACAGAAAUGAUUAUAUAAUGUUUAUGACUUUCUUAAGGACACAAGUACUAUAAAGAAACUAAACUAAUUCAAAGACAACCAGCAACUGAAAUCAGUUUACAAAUUCAACUUAUUUAAAGCACUUGCCAUUUCUCAGUGGUACCUCACCACUACUUUGCAGUUCUCAUCACAAUUUAAAUGAACCAUAAAAUACCAGGCUGGUUCUAUUGGUAACUUCAAACAAGUGUUGUACUCCUUUCUGACAUAAGACAAAAUCUGAGAUAAGUGUUGAUAAAAGCAAAAAUGAAUAGUGAUAAUAAUAUUAAUGAUGUUGCUGAAAAAUGGGAAAUGAGAAAUAAGAAAAACUAACUUUUAAAAAUUUAUUUUAAAUUGCUAAUUCAGGGACAAUGUAUUACAAUCUGCAAAAAAUAUGUAAAAUAUAAAAUAUUUCACGAGUAGAAAAUUUGUUGAAAAUUUCCAUUUUUGUUUUUAAUAUGUUAUCAGAAUGGAGAAAAGUGCCAACUCCAACCAAAUGUUUAUUUGGUGUAACAUAUGCAACAUGGUUAAAAAAUAAAAAAUGUUAAAAAAUGUAAUUGAAGAAAGAAGACAAAAACAAAACAUAGCCUUGCUGCAAAAAUAUUCUUAUUAAAUAUUUUUCAAUUUCUCUCCGGAAUCUUGAUUUUUGUCAUUGCAUGUUUUUUUUUUUGUUGAUCUUGUGUUUUUUUUCUCUGUUCACUUUUGCUCAUUUCUUGUUUGCUGUUAACUCUUAUUUUAAAAUUGAUCUUUUAUGUCACAAGUCAUUCACAUUCCUCUGUCAUUAAAAUACUGACAGUUUAUUUCACCUUUUCAUUUUCACCCAAAUAGUUUGUUUAUGAGCUUUUAAAAAAUGUCUUCCAAUUCAAAAUAAAGAGAAAGUAUAAAAAAAAGUUCUUACAAUAAACAAUGUAUCUCAUGUUAUUCUAUU
rnacentral:lncRNA from 1 species